ensembl:lncRNA
GGAGAAGGAGAAGGAGAGGGAGAGGGACAGGAAAACGGAGAGGGAGAGGGAAAGGGAAACGGAGAGGGAGAGGGAAAGGGAGAGGGAAAGGGAAGGAAAGGUAAAAGGAAAGGGACAGAGAAGGGAGAGGGAAAGGAGAAGGGAAGGAGAAUGGAAGGAAAGGGAAGGAAAAGGAACAGGAUCUCAGAAAUUAUUGAGGCAAUUAUGUGAGCGCAGUACAUGAGAAGUAAUCCCAGCUGCUGGGAGCUGGGGGGAAGAGAAAUCAUGGUGUGAUCCAAAGGGGCCCCAGAGAGCGCACGCCAGCAGCGGUGACCUGGUUUGCAGAUGGAUCCAACGCUCCUCUGCUUCCAAGCCCAACACACCGCCCUGCUCCUGGGUGUCAGCGCUGGCAUCGUGCACUAAUCUGUUUAUUUCUGUUUGCUUCCUUUCUUAUUUUUCCUGUCUUUUGAAUUAAAAGCUAAUCCUCCGUGCUGAUUCUCAUAAUUUCGAGCCAUGCAUUGAACACAGGAAUUCUUGAGCAGGUUUUUGCUCCCCUGGCAGCAUCACUUUCCCCAUUGCACAGGAAACCAAAGGCAGACAGCAGAGCAAGAAAACACAACACAGCUCCUGCAUCACGCCACCUCCUCGGGCUUCCAGCACAUCUCAACACAGAACUAGAGCAAAAGGGCAGAUUAUUUAAAGCCGUCACAUGUAGGCCAAUUUUCGCUGCAGUUCCUUUUGGCUCUGAUUUUGCAGGCCCCAGCGGAGUGGUGAAGUCAUGAAUAAAUGCAAGCAAACCGAGCUGAUCCACUCUCAUUUGAGCAGCGGAGUUUACUCGCCCCAUGCUGCUUCAGCUGGAACACCAGAAGAGGCUCAGGGCCAAAUCCCGAAUGCUGCUGCCAUGAGGAACCUCCCCAGGGAUGCUCCUCCGAGCUCUGUGAGGAGCCCUACACGGAUGGCAUGCAAGAGCUGCGGAGAUAAUGUGAUAAUCAUAAUGGGUUUAAGAGAAAAAAAAAAAAAAGAAAAAAAAAAAAA